rnacentral:rRNA from 1 species
AUUGAACGCUGGCGGCAUGCCUUACACAUGCAAGUCGAACGGUAACGGGCCUUCGGGUGCCGACGAGUGGCGAACGGGUGAGUAAUACAUCGGAACGUGCCCGAUCGUGGGGGAUAACGAGGCGAAAGCUUUGCUAAUACCGCAUACGAUCUACGGAUGAAAGCAGGGGACCGCCAGGCCUUGCUCGGACGGAGCGGCCGAUGGCAGAUUAGGUAGUUGGUGGGAUAAAAGCUUACCAAGCCGACGAUCUGUAGCUGGUCUGAGAGGAUGAUCAGCCACACUGGGACUGAGACACGGCCCAGACUCCUACGGGAGGCAGCAGUGGGGAAUUUUGGACAAUGGGCGCAAGCCUGAUCCAGCCAUGCCGCGUGCAGGAUGAAGGCCUUCGGGUUGUAAACUGCUUUUGUACGGAACGAAAAGCCUUCUUUUAAUACAGGAGGGUCAUGACGGUACCGUAAGAAUAAGCACCGGCUAACUACGUG